rnacentral:tRNA from 1 species
GCCCAGGUGGUGAAAUGGCAGACACAACGGCCUUAGAAGCCGUCGCCGCAAGGCAUGGAGGUUCAAGUCCUCUCCUGGGCACCA